GGAGUUAGCCGGUGCUUCUUCUGUGAGUGAUGUCCUUCCUGCCGGCUAUUAACCCGCAGGCCUUCUUCCUCACUGAAAGUGCUUUACAACCCGAAGGCCUUCUUCACACACGCGGCAUGGCUGGAUCAGGGUUGCCCCCAUUGUCCAAUAUUCCCCACUGCUGCCUCCCGUAGGAGUCUGGGCCGUGUCUCAGUCCCAGUGUGGCUGAUCAUCCUCUCAGACCAGCUACGGAUCGUCGCCUUGGUGAGCCGUUACCUCACCAACCAGCUAAUCCGACAUAGGCUCAUCCGAUAGCGCGAGGCCCGAAGGUCCCCCGNUUUCCCCCGUAGGGCGUAUGCGGUAUUAGCCUGGGUUUCCCCAGGUUAUCCCCCACUACCGGGCAGAUUCCUAUGCAUUACUCACCCGUCCGCCGCUCGCCACCAGGGAGCAAGCUCCCCGUGCUGCCGCUCGACUUGCAUGUGUUAGGCCUGCCGCCAGCGUUCAAUCUGAGCCAGAAAUCGAAAACCCUUCGACGUCGAGACGGGCCGGUGGCGGAAACGGACGGCCGAUAG
rnacentral:rRNA from 1 species